CGGAGUGAAAGAGAGAGGGGCCGGGGGAAGGCAGUGGGAGGUCGUAGGGCGGGAAGCCGGGGCUGGCGGAGCAAGGAGGAGGGCAAGAGCGAAGGAAAAAAGAAACAAUGAAGAGAAGAAACAAUGUGAACACCACGGCUAGAAUGGCCCUCUGGUGUCCCCCGCGACCUGAGCUCGCUGACCAUUUAAUUAGACCCAGAAGGUGCAGAGACCGCUUCCGGAGCCUUGAACCUCCCAGGCCUUGGACAUAUGUAGUUCAUUCAUUCGGUCCUCAAAUGCAGUGAGUCUGGUGGGCCUGCGCUCUCCAACCUCUCCAAGCGCAAGAACAGGAUGCAUGCGCUGGCUUAGACAGGGUCCAAGCGGAGGGAGCCUCCAGAGGCCCAGCGGCCAGAGAGAACAGUGCCCCCAGAAAG